UGUCCGUCUCUUCGCUUCCAUUCCCUUCUCCGGCCACCGUCUGCUCGUAGGCCACUUGUUCUCUCAUCAGUCUCUUCGUUCGACCAUCUGAUUAAUACUUAGCUCGUUUGCGUGAUAGUGAGAAGCCAUUCAUACUAGCCACACAAGCUAAGCAAGUAUAUUCUACAUUGUAGACCCGUCUGAUAAAAAAAUGGUCUAUUGUUGUACCGGAAAAAAGAAGCAUCCUUGGUAUAGGUGAUGUUGAGGAUGAGGAAGAAUAUGAAGCUUUUGCAGACUCCUCGCCCUUUAUCAAUCCAAAAUCAGUGGAUCAAGAUAAUGUAGAUGUUGGUUAUAUGCAUGUAGAUCACAUGAAAGAAAUACAUUUGAAUUAAGUGAUUCACAAGGUAUGAAUUUUAAGCUUUUAAAAGUUUUUUGGCAUUUUCGCGCAACUUGGUUUGUUUUGUAUGAAACUUUGCACACAAAACUAUUUGGUAUAUAUUAUUGUGUUGAACGUAAUAGGAUUGUAAAUCAUAGUCAUCUUCUUAAUAUUACUUGGUAAGUUGCGAUUUUAAGCUUUUUAAAGUUUUUUUUGGCACUUUCGCGAAUAAAAGCUCAAACUUGGUUUGUUUUGCAUGAAACUUUGCACACAACACUAUUUAGUAUAUAUUAUUGGGCGAGGUCUUACGAAAAACCUCAAAGUCACAGAACCCAUGCAUUUGGAAUACAAUGCAUUGGGUCAACCCUGCAGAAAAUGGCGUAGGCAAUAUGGAAAACAAGUGGGAUUAUGUAUCCGCAAGAUUUCCAUAUUACACGCAUGAAACGAGCUUCCAGAGGAUUUGAAGAACUCUCUAUGGAAUGAUACUGUGAAUCUUUUUCACAUCUAGAGCGAUGAGAAGAAGAAUGUGUUUCUUUCAUCUAUUGCUGAAAGAUUCAGAGAUUUCAAAUCCAAGCUAGUAACUGGUUUCUUUCGCGCAUAAAGUAGUUCAACUUGGUUUGUUUUGCCCGAAACUUGGCACAUAACACUAUUUCGUAUAUAUAAUUGUCUUGAAGUGGUUAGAAUUGUAAAUCAUAGUCAUAUGCUAGAAAUUAUGUGUUAAGUUGCGAAUUUGUACGUUUUUAAUCUUUUUUGGAACAUUCGCGCAUAAAGUAGGUCACAAACUUGUUUUGUUUUACACAAAACAUGGCACACAACACUAUUUGCUAUAUAUUAUUGUGUUGAAGUGGUUAGAAUUAUAAAUCACAGUCAUACGCUAGAAAUUACGUGUUAAGUUGUGAUUUUUUGCGUUUUUACGCAUUUUUGGCAUUUUUGCGCUUAAAAUAGCUCAAACUCGGCUUGUUUUGCAUGAAACUUAGCACACAACACU